rnacentral:lncRNA from 1 species
UUACAUUGGCUAGUGUCGAUCUCAUAGUUUGGAAGUGAACCACACUUGAAGUAAGAAAUGUUCCCACAAAACAAUUUGCAUAAGGUGUUUCACUAUUAGAUGAUUCUACCCCUAACUGAAUGGAUUCUUCCUCUACGUCAUUUAAAGAUAAACUCGCUAUAGAAUCCUCCAUUGGCUAAAACCUGUAAAAAAUCGUAGGCUUAGUGUGGCAGACAAACUUGAAGAAUAAAAUAGUGUGCUAACAAGAACAAAAAAAACCAUGUCAAAAGAUAGAGAGAAAGUGUGUUAAAAGACAGAAAACAACUUUGAUUUAAGUGUAUACAUUUAAAAAAAUGAAUACAUAUACUUAUUUUCAUAUCAGAUUUGUAAUACCCAAAUUUUGCCCGGCCCGAUACAGAUAUUAAAAUCAAAUAUAAAAAUAUAUAUAUAUAAAAUAAAUAAAUGUUCAGUUUAUUACAAUAGUAGGCCCAAUUAAUUUACCCAAACCCAAAAUACAUCAGACCACUAAGCCCCAAUAUCACAAACCUGAUUACCUAAUUACAUUACCCAACACCAGGCCCAAAUUACAAACCCAUUACAGCCCAAAUCCCCAACCCGAUUGCAGAAACCAUAGCAGCUUGCAGCAAGCUGUCGUCGCUGCUCUCCAUGCGCACAGCAGCCACUGCCCCCACACACGAGCCUCACGUGCACCACCAUCACAAGAGCCUCCGUACAUGCAUACGCCUUUGCCUUUGUACACGCCACGUCCCCAGCCCUGCACUCCGUACCUGUAAAAGGCGAGCAAACGAGCAGCAAAAACAGACAAUAACGGCAAAAAAGGAGCAGCAAUAAGGGAUUGACAGCAAAUACUAGCAGUAAAUAGAAAAUGUAAAAAUUUUAAAAUUUCUUUGUCUCUAUCCGGCUAUAAAAAGGGCCGAUUGAAAUUUGUAAGACGGAC